GCUUUACAUAUAUUCAUCUUCUGCCCAGCAUUUCAAUUCCAUAGGCAUUCCUUAGCUUCAAAAUAUUAAUAUGCAUUACAAAAAGUGACAAAAAAAAACUGCCAGAUUCAUCAUCGUCUGUGGCUCUUCGAUGCUGCAUGGUAAAUGAAACAACGCCAGUAAGCUGCAGAUAUAGUAAAUCUUAGGUACCUGAUGCAGUAUUUAGCAAUCAUUUCUCAGGCCGAACAACUGGAACUGCACGAAACAUAGAAAUUUUCAGCACAUUACUGCUUAUCAGCUCAAAGACACAGACUUCACCUCCUUGCAGAUUAUUCUCCCUGCAAAAUGCAUUCCAUCCCCCUCCGAAGUCCACCCGUCCACAUCCUUUCCAAGCAAGACGGACUAUCCACUCUCUUCCAUCAGAAACCUGAAGUUUAAUAUGCUUAUGAAAUCUACUUAAAUAACUUUUAGCAAAUCGAGCUGGCACGUACAGAAUAUUGUUAUAGCAAUUAUAUGGGCGCAAAAGAACCAUGAAAGAUGGACUUUUGGGCUUGAACAUUCUAGCAGCCUGAAUUGCCUU
rnacentral:misc_RNA from 1 species